rnacentral:lncRNA from 1 species
AUGGUUGUAAAAAUAAAAAAAUAAAAAAAUCACAAAGUUCUUUGGGAACAUAAGAUUAUAAGGCAACACGAGGCCCACUGCAGACGAGGGGGAUCUUACGUCGCAAAUUAAAGAAUCUAGAGAUAUCCCACCAAAGAUUCGUCGGGGUCUCUCUUGCAGAUGAGGCGCGGGGCUGGCGUUCCUAAUCGCGGCACCAAGGCCCAUGAGCGGCUCCAGCAUUCC